rnacentral:tRNA from 1 species
GUUUCGGUAGUGUAAGGGAUAGGGCACGGUGCCCGGAAAGUACAAGUACGGGUUCGAGUCCCGUCCGGGACU